AUUGCUGUGGCUGUGGUAUAAGCCAGCAGUUGCAUAUAUGAUUUGACCCUUAGCCUGGGAACUUCCAUAUAAUGUUCCUGUGGCCCAAAAAAGAAAAAAAAAAGUGAAGGCUGUUGCCUGAAUGACAACAAAAGAAUAGUAGGGAACCAAUAAAUGUCUACUCUUUCAUGUAAAAUAGAGAAUAAAGAUACUUACCUAGAUAUUUUAAUCAUUUAGCUCUAUUGUAGUUGUAAAUUUUAAUAGACUUUAUUAUUGAGAACAGAUUUAAGUUCUUAGCAAAAUGGAAUGGCAGCUACAGAGAUUUCCCAUAUUCCCCUCUGCAUCCAUUGAUUCAUAGCCUCCCCUUUUAUCAACACCACCCCACUAUAGUGAUACAUUUGUAACAAUUGAUGAGCCUGAAGUGACACAUCAUUAUCACCCAAAGUCCAUGGCUUACACUAGGGUUUACUCUUGGUAUUUUGCCUUCUAUGGGUCUAGACAAAUGGUUGAUAAUGUGUCUCCACCAUUGUAUCACACAGUAUUUUCAUGACCUAAAAAUCCUUUGUGCUCUAUCUAUUCAUCCCUCCCUCCCACUAGGCAAACACUUAUCUUCUUACUCUCUCCUUAAUUUUACCCUUUCUGCAAUGUCAUUUGGGUGGAAUCAUAUAGUAAGUAGCCUUUUAAGAUUGACUUUUUUUCUUAGUAAUAUGCAUUUAAGUUUCAUCUAUGUCUAUCCGUGGGUUGCUGUAGCUGCCAGAGUACGCCAGAGCGACAGCAACUCAGGAUCUGAGCUGCAUUGGCCAUCUACACCAUAGCUCAUGGCAAACCAAGAUCCUUAACCCACUGAACGAAGCCAGGGAUUGAAUCCGCAUCCUCAUGGAUACUAGUCGGGUUCAUUAACCACUGAGCUAGGACAGGAACUCCUAUACUAUUGUUUUUAAUUUGCAUUUUCACCGAGGACAUAGAAUGUGAAGCAUGUUUUCAUAUGCUUAUUUGCCAUUUUCUUUGAUGAGAUAACUGUUAAGGCCUUUGACCUAGUUUUUAAUUGGGUUGUUUUUUUUCUUAUUGUUUUCUUUCGUGUAUUUUGGAUAGCAGUCCUUUAUCAGAUAUCUUUACAAAGGUAUUCUGUCAGUCUGUGUCUUAUAUUAUUAUUCUCUUAAUAGUGUCCUUUGCAUAAAAGAACUUUUUGAUUUUAAUGAAGUCCAGUUUAUCAAGGCUUUCUUCCAUGGAUCAUGCCAUUGGUGUCAUAUUCCAAAAAGUCAUCCUCGAAUACCAAGGUCAUUUAGAUGUUCUCCUAUGUUAUUUCCUAAGAGUUUCACGGUUAUUUUGCCUUUGAAGCAUAGGUCUGUGAUCCAUUUUUGAGUUCAUUUUUAUGAAGGGUGUUAGGUUUAUGUCUAGAUUCAUUCGUUUAUUUAUUUAUUUACUUGCCUGUAGAUGUCCACUUAAUUGACCACCAUUUAUUGCAAAGACUUUAUUGUAUGGCUUUGCUCUUGUGUCAGAGAUCAGUUGACUAUACAUCCAUGCGUUUAUUUCUAGGCUCUCUAUUCUAUUCUAUUACCCCUAUUAUAUUUGCAUUUAUGCUGAUCAUCAUGGUCUUUUCUUAUACUUGCUGAGUUGGCAUCAAUCAGGACCCUCAUAGUUAAAAUUAUGCUGAAGGAUUUUUAACCCUUAAAGUAUAUUUUGAUCUAUAAUUCUAGGUUUAAGUAGUCAAUACGGAAGUACUUUUUAACUGAAGCCACUAUUUUAUUUUUAACAUGGUGCUGCUUGUACAUCUGGCAGCCUGCAGAUAGCUGGAAACAGUUUGGAUGUCCUUGAAAUGAAAAAUAAUCACAUGGUUAUAAUCUCUGGAUUUCUCUUUGGAUUUAUCCAAGUCAAGAAGGUUGAGACAGAAAUAAUUAUUUUCCAAAUAUCUUCCCCAAGCUGCAUUCCUUUUCUUUGGUUUAUUGCACAGGUGUAUCUCCACAUACAGAUGUAGGCCUUUUAAAAAUGGUCCCCGGUUUAUUGGGAAUCUAAUACUGACUUUGUUAAGAAAAUAUAACCUACUAAUUGUCUUGCAAACAUCCAGUUUUUUUUUUUUUUGGCAUAAUCUUUAUGAUUAAACAUAUGUAAGUUAAAAAAAAAAAAAGGAACUUAACUACUUAGAUUCUAAGAGAUUCCAAAUGGGAAAUUAAACAUUGAUUAUUAUGCUUCUUUAACAGAUUGUAGAAGGCAUUUGUUUGGGAGGUGUCCAAAUGAUAAUAGAUACAGAACAACAGGGGCCAGAUGACUCUAAAGCAUAAUAAAUAAAGAUGGGAAACAAGACUUGAUUUAAACUAGCAAACAUGUAAUGAUUUAGUGUUCUCCAAAGUAUGUUCUUAGGACACUAAUUCUGCAAGUGUUGCUUGAUCAGACAAGUGGGGAAAUGCUGCAUUCUGUAUUCUCCUCUUGGAAAUUAAAAAUGAACAUUGUCAUAGUAAGUUUUCUGAAAGGUCACAUGUUAAAAAUAAUACUAAACCCUGUUCAACUCUUAAGAUGGGAUUUCUUAAACUUACUUUGACCUCAGAACUGUUUGCAUAAACAGCUAUUAACAUCUUAGAGCUUAUAGGACCACAGAACAAAUUUGGAAAAAUAUGUUAACCUUUUCACAAUGUUUUUAAAAAGCCACAAUGUUGUGUCCUGAUUAAAAAAAAAAAAAUCCACAGAAUGUAUGCUGUUCUCAGUUUAGUCAAUAGAAUAGGGGACUUUUUAUAUACAAAUAUUAUCGAAAGUAAGUAUCCACUCACAUUUCCCAGGUAAAAGGAAAGGAUAAUUUUCCUGGAAAAAGCAGCAUGAACACUUGCCAAGCCCUUGCAUAAAUUAGUGUUUAUUAUUAUAAAUGAUAAAUACUUUAGCCAUUGAGAGAGAAUUUCUUUUGCUUUAUUCCCAAAUUUGCAAUGAAAACCAUACUUAAAUAAUUCCUUUUGUAAUAUACUCCUGCAAAGUAAAAUUGUCUUUAAAAUUAACCUUUUCUAACAUAUAAUUUUCACAAUUAAUUCCUGACAAAGCAGAAUAUGAAAAGAAAAACAAACCUCACUCAUAUCCAUUGUGAUCUGUAUGGAGUUUAUUCUAUGUGGUAGGAACUACUGGUUAAUUUAGCUAAUUUCUCAGAAGAGCUGAUGGGGAAAUUUUAUCUUACUUAAGUUGGUAUAUUUGGUUGUCAUAUGCUAAUAGACAAUAAUUUUGAUAUAACUUUAAAUUAUAUAAUUUCAUUACAAUUUAUGUCUUCUUAGCUUAAAAAUAAUUGCCUUUCUCCUAAAUGAACACCACAUAAUUUUUUAGUUGAAUCUGAAAAGUGAUUUUGCUAAAGAAACUCACUGGCAACUAGCUGAAUAUGAGGGAUGGAGUCCCUGUUUUCAACCAGCAAACUAUCAAAGCCAUAUGCAAAAUCUGAGGAAGGAAGAUGUAGGCCCAGGAAGAACUCUUCAUGUGAGGACCCUGUAAAUGCAAGAAAAACAAUUUUAAACCACAGAAGGUCCAAAUGAUAAAUGAGAAUAGAGUAUCAAUAGUACAUUGUUACAAAAUAAUGUUCUCAUACCAAUAAAUGGAAAAGUACCAAAAUCAAACCUACCAAGGUUACUUUUCAAAAUAAUGCUAUUCUAAAAGAAAAUGAACUCAUAAUUUGGAAAAGCCACACACUAUGAAACACAGAGAGAAAUAACCCACUCUUCUGCUACCAAAAACUGCAAUAUUUUGAAACAUUUCAUUCUGGUUCGUCUCUCAUUUUUUCACUGAGCGUAGACUCUAUGUAUUUUGCCAAGCCAAUUUAAAGUAAAAUGAACAUCCUUUUAGUAGUGGCAUAAUAUGCCCUCCCAUGACCAAACCAGAAGAGUAUUUUUCUCAAUUAAAAUAAACUUCCAUUGUCAUUUUGUGUUUAUCCCCUGAGAAUAAGAGCAGGCUCAGUGUAGGAAGGGCUCACAGCAGCCCUUUGUUUGCAUACUAUGUGUGGAUUUCAAGAUGACUGAGGUCUGUUAGGAAUCUUUCCUAGAAAAAAAUCAUCCAAACAUCUUCCCUUCAUUUCCUUCCUGAAUUCUCUCAUCAAGGCAUAGAAAGGAAAAGACAGUAUGAGAGAGUCUAAAACUUCUCUUCCGAGUGGUCGCAGCACAGAAUAGUGCAUUGUAAAAUCCAGCAAGAGAAACAAUUUCCGAUAAAGAAAUUGCACCUGCCAAAUAAACCUGAAACACGUUAGAUUUGAUCUAAGCCACACAUCUCCCACACUUAGUGGCCCACUUUUGAAGGCCCCUUCCCUGGCCCUCUCCCCUCCCCCACCCUUGUCCCUCUCCCACCCUCAGGACUCUCAUCCACAGGGCACGUGUCUACAUCUUGUCUCUACUCCAGUUGGAAUCGUGCCUUCACAAUAUUUUAUUGACAUACACGUUUGACAAUUUCACUCUCUGCCUGAGUCUCACAAUCACUUUUCAAGCAUAAAUCCCUGGAAAGACCGUUUAUGUUUCUCUUGACUCUCAACCCAUCCAAAAUAGGCAGCCAAAUGUGAUUUUGUGUGUGACAUAUUUUCAAUAUUUAUAAACCUUAGACACUGGUCUCACAUGCAGGGAUAAUAAGAAUACUUUUUUGUUUUGUUUUCUGCUAAUGUCUUGACCAUGCUAUUUCUAACCAUUAAUCUUUGGAUGUCAC
rnacentral:lncRNA from 1 species